AGUAAAUAGAUACCCGGGUAGUCCACGCCGUAAACGAUGUCGACUUGGAGGUUGUGCCCUUGAGGCGUGGCUUCCGGAGCUAAACGCGUUAAAGUCGACCACCUGGGGAGUACGGCCGCAAGGUUAAAACUCAAAUGAAUUGACGGGGGCCCGCACAAGCGGUGGAGCAUGUGGUUUAAUUCGAUGCAACGCGAAGAACCUUACCUACUCUUGACAUCCAGAGAACUUUCCAGAGAUGGAUUGGUGCUUUCGGGAACUCUGAGACAGGUGCUGCAUGGCUGUCGUCAGCUCGUGUUGUGAAAUGUUGGGUUAAGUCCCCGCAACGAGCGCAACCCUUAUCCUUUGUUGCCAGCGGUCCGGCCGGGAACUCAAAGGAGACUGCCAGUGAUAAACUGGAGGAAGGUGGGGAUGACGUCAAGUCAUCAUGGCCCUUACGAGUAGGGCUACACACGUGCUACAAUGGCGCAUACAAAGAGAAGCGACCUCGCGAGAGCAAGCGGACCUCAUAAAGUGCGUCGUAGUCCGGAUUGGAGUCUGC
rnacentral:rRNA from 1 species